rnacentral:rRNA from 1 species
AUACGUAGGGGGCGAGCGUUGUCCGGAAUGAUUGGGCGUAAAGGGCGCGUAGGCGGCCCGGUAAGUCUGGAGUGAAAGUCCUGUUUUUAAGAUGGGAAUUGCUUUGGAUACUGUCGGGCUUGAGUGCAGGAGAGGUAAGUGGAAUUCCCAGUGUAGCGGUGAAAUGCGUAGAGAUUGGGAGGAACACCAGUGGCGAAGGCGACUUACUGGACUGUAACUGACGCUGAGGCGCGAAAGUGUGGGGAGCAAACAGGAUUAGAUACCCUGGUAGUCCACACUGUAAACGAUGGAUGCUAGGUGUAGGGGGUAUCGACCCCUUCUGUGCCGCAGUCAACACAAUAAGCAUUCCGCCUGGGGAGUACGGCCGCAAGGUUGAAACUCAAAGGAAUUGACGGGG